CCUACGGGAGGCAGCAGUGAGGAAUAUUGGUCAAUGGACGCAAGUCUGAACCAGCCAUGCCGCGUGCAGGAAGACGGCUCUAUGAGUUGUAAACUGCUUUUGUACGAGGGUAAACGCAGAUACGCGUAUCUGUCUGAAAGUAUCGUACGAAUAAGGAUCGGCUAACUCCGUGCCAGCAGCCGCGGUAAUACGGAGGAUUCAAGCGUUAUCCGGAUAUAUUGGGUUUAAAGGGUGCGUAGGCGGUCGGAUAAGUUAGAGGUGAAAUCCCGAGGCUUAACUUCGGAAUUGCCUCUGAUACUGUACGGCUAGAGAGUAGUUGCGGUAGGCGGUAUGUGUAUAAGAGACAGGACUACCCGAGUAGUC
rnacentral:rRNA from 1 species